AGGUAGAUAGGACAGAGGUGGAAGUGUAGUAAUACAUGUAGCUGACUGUUACUAAUAGAUCGAAGGCUUAACCAAGAA
rnacentral:rRNA from 1 species